UUCUCGGUAGCUUGGUUGGUAAAGUACAUGGCUAGCGUACAAGAGUCGUGAGUUCGAAUCUCACCUGAGCAC
rnacentral:tRNA from 1 species